rnacentral:rRNA from 1 species
UACGUAGGGUGCAAGCGUUGUCCGGAAUUAUUGGGCGUAAAGAGCUCGUAGGCGGUCUGUCGCGUCGAUCGUGAAAACUUGGGGCUUAACCCUGAGCUUGCGGUCGAUACGGGCAUGACUGGAGUUCGGCAGGGGAGACUGGAAUUCCUGGUGUAGCGGUGAAAUGCGCAGAUAUCAGGAGGAACACCGGUGGCGAAGGCGGAUCUCUGGGCCAUUACUGACGCUGAGGAGCGAAAGCGUGGGGAGCGAACAGG